rnacentral:rRNA from 1 species
GCUGCAGUUAACGCAAUAAGUUCUCCGCCUGGGGAGUAUGCACGCAAGUGUGAAACUCAAAGGAAUUGACGGGGGCCCGCACAAGCGGUGGAGUAUGUGGUUUAAUUCGAAGCAACGCGAAGAACCUUACCAGGCCUUGACAUGGAUAUAAAUGUUCUAGAGAUAGAAAGAUAGCUAUAUAUCACACAGGUGGUGCAUGGUUGUCGUCAGCUCGUGUCGUGAGAUGUUGGGUUAAGUCCCGCAACGAGCGCAACCCUUGUCUUCUGUUACCAGCAUUAAGUUGGGGACUCAGGAGAGACUGCCGGUGACAAACCGGAGGAAGGUGGGGAUGACGUCAAAUCAUCAUGCCCCUUAUGGCCUGGGCUACACACGUACUACAAUGGCGCCUACAAAGAGCAGCGACACCGCGAGGUGGAGCGAAUCUCAUAAAGGGCGUCUCAGUUCGGAUUGAAGUCUGCAACUCGACUUCAUGAAGUCGGAAUCGCUAGUAAUCGCAGAUCAGCAUGCUGCGGUGAAUACGUUCUCGGGCCUUGCACACACCGCCCGUC